UAUUAAAAGCUAAAAAUGGAUACCUUGGGUAAAAAAGUGGAUAAAGGACGUAAUUGGCUGCGAAAAGCUUCGAUAAGGUGCCAAUAACCGUUAUAAUCGAAGAUGUCCGAAUGGGGUAACCUGGCCUGUACAGCAGGCCGUCGUAAAGACCAUAACCGACUGAAGUGAAAUAUCUCAGUAAGUCGAGGAAAAUAAAUCGUAAUGAGAUUCCCGUAGUAGUGACGAGCGAACUGGGAAGAGCCCAAACCUCAUCAGUGUAAGGUUACAGCCGUUGCUGAUAGAGGUGUUGUAGGAUCAUUCUGGAUCUGCUGUUAAAGAUCCGAGGAGUUAUAAAGUACAUGUAUAAGAGAAGCUUUUGAAAAGAAGCACCAUAGAGGGUUACAGUCCCGUAUUUGAAAUAUAUGUAUCUCCUGAGUGACACCUGAGUAGUAUCGGACACGAGAAAUCCGGUAUGAAUCCGCCCAGACCACUGGGUAAGGCUAAAUACUUUUUUACACCGAUAGCGUAUAGUACCGUGAGGGAAAGGUGAAAAGAACCCCAGGAAGGGGAGUGAAAUAGAUUCUGAAAUUUUUAGCUUACAAAUGAGUGGGAGCUUCGCAGCAAUGUGGGGUGACCGCGUACCUAUUGACGAAUGGGUCAGCGAGUUAUUGGUAGUAGCAAGGCUAAGACAGGUAUAGUCGGAGCCGUAGCGAAAGCGAGUCUGAAUAGGGCGACUAGUUGCUAUCAAUAAACCCGAAGCGUGACGAGCUAGUCAUGGACAGGAUGAAGAGCCGGGAAACCGGCUUGGAGGUCCGAACGGUUUGGAGCUGCAAAUCCUUCCGAUGAUCCGUGUCUAGGAGUGAAAAGCUCAUCGAGUUACGUGAUAGCUGGUUCUCUCCGAAAUGUAUUUAGGUACAGCCAGCAAAAUAAGAUCUUGUAGAGGUAGAGCUCUUAUAAGGCUAGGGGUGUCGAAAGGCAUUACCAAACCUUGUUAAACUUCGAAUGCUACAAGGAAUAUUGUUGAGUGAGACUGCGGGGGCUAAGCUUCGUAGUCGAAAGGGUAACAGCCCAGAUUUCUAACUAAGGUCCCUAAAUUAUAGCUAAGUGGUAAAGGAAGUGUUUUUGCUUUAACAUCCAGGAGGUUUGCUUAGAAGCAGCAAUCCUUUAAAGAAAGCGUAACAGCUCACUGGACAAGCGAAAAUGCGCCGAAAAUGUAACGGGGCUCAAGCUAUAUACCG
rnacentral:rRNA from 1 species